CUCUCUCUCUCUCUAUAUAUGCACAAAAAUACAAAAACUGGUUACCCUGAAGAGAACCUCAAACAUAAUGUUUCACAGUCCCGCCCAAAUCCACUCUCCUUUAUGAACUCAUCAGUGUCUCUAGACGUAUUUGCGUGUAUACAACAUGCAACUAUCCCUCACGACUUCUGGAAGCUGAAUACCCGCCUCACCUCUGGUACUGGGUUCAACCGCACCCCGGGUAGUGCGUCUACUGAGAAAAGCAACCGGAUAAUUUGAAACAAGACUAGGGCACCUAGUGGAAACAGUCCGUUCCCGGGAGUCUGACAGCACGAAGGCAGUGAUUUCAGACUGGGAAACAAACACUGAGGGGAGCUCAGUGGAGGCUGGGGAGUGGGAGUGGGGUGGAAGAACGCCCUGGUGCUGUCCAGAAGGAAGUAAAAUGCAAGUGCAGAGGACAAAUUGGUAGGAGGGCAACACGGUGCACAUCUCCACAUGGUCUUGGGGAGGACCAGGCUGGCAGGAAGGAAGGUCCAGGGCUACUAUUGGCUGGUGACUCGCUGACCGAACAAAGCCCGAGGGCGUGGCCACCUCAGGGGCAUCUAUAUAGAGGGAGGGCAGGCCGGACCCUGGGCAGUCCGCUUGGAGGAGCUCACCUGAGAACCUCGACAGGUACCCCACAGGGCACAGCACAGGACAGCGGACCCUGCUGAGCAGGAAGACAACAGCGACCUCAGCUGCUAAGCUGAAGGGAAAGGUACACAAGAAAUCCAGCGGGACCAGGAGACCCCGUCCCCAAAAGGGAAAAGAUGGCGCGGGGACUCCACCGAAGAGGCGGAAAGCCCCGCCAGGUUUUGGCCCUCCUCAAUAGCAGGGCCAACAGCGUGAGCAAGGCCAGCAGGAUGCGCCAGGGCAGGAGCAGGUCCGUGGGCACCAGGCGGAGAAGCCCAGCCCCACGCGUGCUGACCUGCAAACCCCCAGCAGCCCGGAGAGGCCGCAAGAGAGGCCCCGCCAAGCAGGGCCUAAACAGGUCCACCCGAGGCCGUGGAGCCCAGGCCCCACGCAAGGGGAUGGCAGAGUCCCCUGCCAAGAGAGGUGUUCGGAAACCUCGCUGUUAUCUGAGAGGUGGCUAGAGGUCUGCCUGCCUCUGCCUACCUUGAGGCAGUCCCUCCAGAAACUUUCCAUCCACACUACCCAGUGAUGGGGGCA